rnacentral:rRNA from 1 species
AUUGAACGCUGGCGGCAGGCCUAACACAUGCAAGUCGAACGGAGUGGCGGACGGGUGAGUAAUGUCUGGGAACUGCCUCAUAGCGGGGGAUCACUAUUGGAAACGAUAGCUAAUACCGCAUACUGUGAGAUGGACCUUCGUUGUAUUAGGUAGUUGGUGAGGUCAAGGCUCACCAAGGCGACGAUACAUAGCCGACCUGGGAGGGUGGUCGGCCACAACGGGACUUGGACACGGCCCAGACUCCCACGGGAGGCAGCAGGAGGGAAUCUUCGGCAAUGGGCGGAAGUCUGAACGAGCAACGCCGCGUGAGUGAAGAAGGUUUUCGGAUCGGAAAGCUCUGUUGUUAGAGAAGCGGUAACUAACCAGAAAGGGACGGCUAACUACGUGCCAGCCGCCGCGGUAAUAC